rnacentral:rRNA from 1 species
UUAAGCGACUAAGCGUACACGGUGGAUGCCCUGGCAGUCAGAGGCGAUGAAGGACGUGCUAAUCUGCGAAAAGCGUCGGUAAGGUGAUAUGAACCGUUAUAACCGGCGAUGUCCGAAUGGGGAAACCCAGUGCAAUUCGUUGCACUAUCGUUAACUGAAUACAUAGGUUAACGAGGCGAACCGGGGGAACUGAAACAUCUAAGUACCCCGAGGAAAAGAAAUCAACCGAGAUUCCCCCAGUAGCGGCGAGCGAACGGGGAGCAGCCCAGAGUCUGAAUCAGCUUGUGUGUUAGUGGAACGGUCUGGAAAGUCCGACGGUACAGGGUGAUAGUCCCGUACACCAAAAUGCACAGGCUGUGAACUCGAAGAGUAGGGCGGGACACGUGGUAUCCUGUCUGAAUAUGGGGGGACCAUCCUCCAAGGCUAAAUACUCCUGACUGACCGAUAGUGAACCAGUACCGUGAGGGAAAGGCGAAAAGAACCCCGGCGAGGGGAGUGAAAAAGAACCUGAAACCGUGUACGUACAAGCAGUGGGAGCACCUUCGGGUGUGACUGCGUACCUUUUGUAUAAUGGGUCAGCGACUUAUAUUCUGUAGCAAGGUUAACCGUAUAGGGGAGCCGCAGGGAAACCGAGUCUUAACUGGGCGUUAAGUUGCAGGGUAUAGACCCGAAACCCGGUGAUCUAGCCAUGGGCAGGUUGAAGGUUGGGUAACACUAACUGGAGGACCGAACCGACUAAUGUUGAAAAAUUAGCGGAUGACUUGUGGCUGGGGGUGAAAGGCCAAUCAAACCGGGAGAUAGCUGGUUCUCCCCGAAAGCUAUUUAGGUAGCGCCUCGUGAACUCAUCUUCGGGGGUAGAGCACUGUUUCGGCUAGGGGGUCAUCCCGACUUACCAACCCGAUGCAAACUACGAAUACCGAAGAAUGUUAUCACGGGAGACACACGGCGGGUGCUAACGUCCGUCGUGAAGAGGGAAACAACCCAGACCGCCAGCUAAGGUCCCAAAGUCAUGGUUAAGUGGGAAACGAUGUGGGAAGGCACAGACAGCCAGGAUGUUGGCUUAGAAGCAGCCAUCAUUUAAAGAAAGCGUAAUAGCUCACUGGUCGAGUCGGCCUGCGCGGAAGAUGUAACGGGGCUAAACCAUGCACCGAAGCUGCGGCAGCGACACUAUGUGUUGUUGGGUAGGGGAGCGUUCUGUAAGCCUGCGAAGGUGUGCUGUGAGGCAUGCUGGAGGUAUCAGAAGUGCGAAUGCUGACAUAAGUAACGAUAAAGCGGGUGAAAAGCCCGCUCGCCGGAAGACCAAGGGUUCCUGUCCAACGUUAAUCGGGGCAGGGUGAGUCGACCCCUAAGGCGAGGCCGAAAGGCGUAGUCGAUGGGAAACAGGUUAAUAUUCCUGUACUUGGUGUUACUGCGAAGGGGGGACGGAGAAGGCUAUGUUAGCCGGGCGACGGUUGUCCCGGUUUAAGCAUGUAGGCUGAUUGUCCAGGCAAAUCCGGAUAAUCAAGGCUGAGGUGUGAUGACGAGGCACUACGGUGCUGAAGUAACAAAUGCCCUGCUUCCAGGAAAAGCCUCUAAGCAUCAGGUAACAUCAAAUCGUACCCCAAACCGACACAGGUGGUCAGGUAGAGAAUACCAAGGCGCUUGAGAGAACUCGGGUGAAGGAACUAGGCAAAAUGGUGCCGUAACUUCGGGAGAAGGCACGCUGGUGUGUAGGUGAAGUCCCUGCGGAUGGAGCUGAGACCAGUCGAAGAUACCAGCUGGCUGCAACUGUUUAUUAAAAACACAGCACUGUGCAAACACGAAAGUGGACGUAUACGGUGUGACGCCUGCCCGGUGCCGGAAGGUUAAUUGAUGGGGUUAUCCGUAAGGAGAAGCUCUUGAUCGAAGCCCCGGUAAACGGCGGCCGUAACUAUAACGGUCCUAAGGUAGCGAAAUUCCUUGUCGGGUAAGUUCCGACCUGCACGAAUGGCGUAAUGAUGGCCAGGCUGUCUCCACCCGAGACUCAGUGAAAUUGAACUCGCUGUGAAGAUGCAGUGUACCCGCGGCAAGACGGAAAGACCCCGUGAACCUUUACUAUAGCUUGACACUGAACAUUGAGCCUUGAUGUGUAGGAUAGGUGGGAGGCUUUGAAGCGUGGACGCCAGUCUGCGUGGAGCCAACCUUGAAAUACCACCCUUUAAUGUUUGAUGUUCUAACGUUGGCCCCUGACCGGGGUUGCGGACAGUGUCUGGUGGGUAGUUUGACUGGGGCGGUCUCCUCCCAAAGCGUAACGGAGGAGCACGAAGGUUAGCUAAUCCUGGUCGGACAUCAGGAGGUUAGUGCAAUGGCAUAAGCUAGCUUGACUGCGAGCGUGACGGCGCGAGCAGGUGCGAAAGCAGGUCAUAGUGAUCCGGUGGUUCUGAAUGGAAGGGCCAUCGCUCAACGGAUAAAAGGUACUCCGGGGAUAACAGGCUGAUACCGCCCAAGAGUUCAUAUCGACGGCGGUGUUUGGCACCUCGAUGUCGGCUCAUCACAUCCUGGGGCUGAAGUAGGUCCCAAGGGUAUGGCUGUUCGCCAUUUAAAGUGGUACGCGAGCUGGGUUUAGAACGUCGUGAGACAGUUCGGUCCCUAUCUGCCGUGGGCGCUGGAGAAUUGAGGGGGGCUGCUCCUAGUACGAGAGGACCGGAGUGGACGCAUCACUGGUGUUCGGGUUGUCAUGCCAAUGGCACUGCCCGGUAGCUAAAUGCGGAAGAGAUAAGUGCUGAAA